rnacentral:rRNA from 1 species
AGCAGCCGCGGUAAUUCCAGCUCCAAUAGCGUAUAUUAAAGUUGUUGCAGUUAAAAAGCUCGUAGUUGAAUUUCGGGGUUAGCAGGUCGGUCGUGCCAUCGGUAUGAACUGGUCUCGCUGAUCCCUCCCUCUUGACGAACUGUGAUGCCAUUAAUUUGGUGUCGCAGGGAAUCAGGACUGUUACUUUGAAAAAUUAGAGUGUUUAAAGCAGGCUCACGCUUGAAUACAUUAGCAUGGAAUAAUGAAAUAGGACGUUUGAUCCUAUUUUGUUGGCUUCUAGGAUUGACGUAAUGAUUAAUAGGGAUAGUUGGGGGCAUUAGUAUUCAAUUGUCAGAGGUGAAAUUCUUGGAUUUAUUGAAGACUAACUACUGCGAAAGCAUUUGCCAAGGAUGUUUUCAUUAAUCAAGAACGAAAGUUAGGGGAUCGAAGACGAUCAGAUACCGUCGUAGUC